rnacentral:rRNA from 1 species
AAGUACCGUGAGGGAAAGUUGAAAAGAACUUUGAAGAGAGAGUUAAAAAGUACGUGAAACCUCUCGGGGGUAAGCGGGCAGAACUUGCAAGUAUUGGCUGGGAACAUUCAGGCUUAGUGUUGACGGCUUGUGGUGAUCGUUUUGUUUCUCUUUCGGGAGUUGCUGGCGUUUACUGCUUGAUCUGUUGACGAUGCGCCGCAUUUGUUCCUGUCAUCGGGUUGCUUGCGACUUAAUGGUACUCUAGGUGCUGGGUGUCUGCAAAUCCUUGUGGUUUGAGCCCUGGUUUCCGUCUACUGUUGUUGUCGUUUAUGUGAACGAGCUGGCGUUUAACGCGGUCAGUGAGUUUCGCGAGUUAGUUGCUUAUGAUGUGUGGACGGGUAACCGUAGCACGUUGUCUGUAGCUGCUGUCAGCGAGAUUUAUCUGGCUCUGCUCUGAUUGCAAUC